rnacentral:rRNA from 1 species
UACGUAGGGUGCGAGCGUUAAUCGGAAUUACUGGGCGUAAAGCGUGCGCAGGCGGUGAUGUAAGACAGGUGUGAAAUCCCCGGGCUUAACCUGGGAACUGCAUUUGUGACUGCAUCGCUGGAGUGCGGCAGAGGGGGAUGGAAUUCCGCGUGUAGCAGUGAAAUGCGUAGAUAUGCGGAGGAACACCGAUGGCGAAGGCAACCCCCUGGGCCUGCACUGACGCUCAUGCACGAAAGCGUGGGGAGCAAACAGG